UCAGCAGGCCGGAUGGCCGCUCCUCACGCAUGGGGAGAGGAAAGUCCGGGCUCCAUGGAAGCACGGUGCCGGAUAACGUCCGGCGGGGGCGACCCCAGGGAAAGUGCCACAGAAAGCAAACCGCCCUUGAGACUGGCUGACAGCCUCCAGGGUAAGGGUGAAAGGGUGCGGUAAGAGCGCACCGCGGCUUUGGUAACAAAGACGGCAAGGCAAACCCCACCGGGAGCAAAACCGAAUAGGGGCGGCACGGGCGAGCGAUCGUCCACGUCUGUUUCCAGACGCGCGGCCCGGGUUGGUUGCACGAGGCGUCCUGCAAGGGGCGUCCAAGAUGAAUGGCCAUCGCCUCGCCGGAAGGCGAGGAACAGAACCCGGCUUACAGGCUUGGUGACAUG
rnacentral:RNase_P_RNA from 1 species